rnacentral:misc_RNA from 1 species
GAACGCACAUUGCGCCUUCUGGUAUUCCGGGAGGCAUGCCUGUUCGAGCGUCAUUCAAACCUUCAAGCUCUGCUUGGUGUUGGGCGUCUGUCCUGCCUCACGGCGCGGACUCGCCUCAAAUCUAUUGGCGGCCGGCACGUUGGCUUCGAGCGCAGCAGAAACGCGAACUCGGGCCCGACGGAUCGGCUCCCAGAAGCUACCCCCAUGAAUUUGACCUCGGAUCAGGUAGGGAUACCCGCUGAACUUAAG